rnacentral:lncRNA from 1 species
CUCAACUCUACACUAUACAUGGAACUCUGAAUUGACUAAGGACCAUUGAAUUGUACACUUUAAACAGGGGAAUUUCACGGUAAAGAUGGAUGCCUUGGAAGAUCCAAAUUGGAAUGGAAAGAAGGUGCUAAUGCAAUCCCACCUCCUCUGGGGGCCGCAGUAUUCAAUCGCACUAUUCAUUUCCUAACCUGAGUUUUAUAAAGAUUGUCUUUGUGGCUGGCAAAUAGACUUGAGUCAAUUACAGCCCACCGUUCCUGACCGUUCCUGACACCAGGCGAAUGUUAAUGGGAAUGACGGAAGGAUGUGAUUUUCUGCACGUGCAAAUUCGAACUGGCAGGCCCCAUUCAGAGAACCUGGAAUUAAGUCUCAGACCUUGGACCCCACACUCGGUCCUCGCUGAGGCUCCCCCCACCGACUGCCCAAUUACAUUAUCUGUGACAUCCUGAGGCCGUCUGAGGGUCCUAAGCAGGCAGUGCCAGGAGCCUGAGCCUGUGCUCUGGGCAGGAGGAGGGGAGAGCUGGGCUGAGUGUGCAGUGGGCCUCCAGGUAGAGCAACCCUCCACAGUGCAGGUGGGCCUUUUGGAAAGCACAGUGAGGGGCACCCUGGCCUCAAACUCUGAAAGCACGGGAGUGCUUGGCUGAGCCCAAAGCCUCAGCCCCUGCGAUGGUUGUUUCCACGGGAGUGCUUGGCUGAGCCCAAAGCCUCAGCCCCUGCGAUGGUUGUUUCCACGGGAGUGCUUGGCUGAGCCCAAAGCCUCAGCCCUACGAUGGUUGUUUCCACGGGAGUGCUUGGCUGAGCCCAAAGCCUCAGCCCCUACGAUGGUUGUUUCCACGGGAGUGCUUGGCUGAGCCCAAAGCCUCAGCCCCUACGAUGGUUGUUUCCACGGGAGUGCUUGGCUGAGCCCAAAGCCUCAGCCCCUACGAUGGUUGUUUCCACGGGAGUGCUUGGCUGAGCCCAAAGCCUCAGCCCCUACGAUGGUUGUUUCCACGGGAGUGCUUGGCUGAGCCCAAAGCCUCAGCCCCUGCGAUGGUUGUUUCCACGGGAGUGCUUGGCUGAGCCCAAAGCCUCAGCCCCUACGAUGGUUGUUUCCACGGGAGUGCUUGGCUGAGCCCAAAGCCUCAGCCCCUACGAUGGUUGUUUCCACGGCAGUGCUUGGCUGAGCCCAAAGCCUCAGCCCCUACGAUGGUUGUUUCCAUGGGAGUGCUUGGCUGAGCCCAAAGCCUCAGCCCCUACGAUGGUUGUUUCCUUCUCCCCAAAGCAGAGGUGGGCACAACACCGUCUAACCCUGUCCCUGAGCUGUCCUCCACCCAACCUCAUGCCACAUCUACCAGCUGCAGGGAUUUCUGCCAAAAAACAGCAGCCUGUCACACGUCGCUCAGACCUAGCCCCUUCCUGCACUGCUAGAAUGAAGACCCCAUUCUAUCUCUGUCUAGAGCAGAAGGCAGCAAGCAUUUUCUGUAAUGGAUCAGGCAGUACAUAUUGUGGGUGGGUGGGCCACAAUGUCUCUUUCUAAUUGCUCACCUGGUCCACAGCAGAGGCAAAGGCAGCCACAGACAAUACGUACAGGAAUAGGUAUGGCUGUGUGCCAAUAAAACUUUAUUUACAAAAUAGGCAGGGGGCCAGACUUGGCUUGAGGACUGUAGGUUGCUGACGACCACAGUCUAGGUUCUAGGGCUGUGCUGGUUCUAACUGGGCUGAGCAGUCAAUCAGCAUGAAAUACACAUAAGGCUUUGCAGUCCUCACUCCCCAAAAUGAAUGUCAGAUUUCGCAUGAACAAUUUUUCAUAUGGACUGGAUGUUGAAAGAACAUUUUGGAUAUAUUGGGUUAAAUAAA